rnacentral:piRNA from 1 species
UGCCAUCACCUGUUUGUCCAUCAUGAAG